rnacentral:lncRNA from 1 species
UAAGUACCUUCUUCCAGAGGUGACGGUGCUUGACUAUGGAAAGAAAUGUGUGGUCAUUGAUUUAGAUGAAACAUUGGUGCACAGUUCGUUUAAGCCUAUUAGUAAUGCUGAUUUUAUUGUUCCGGUUGAAAUCGAUGGAACUAUACAUCAGCAGGCAACAGGAAAAUGCCACAAGUCACCCACUUAUGGUGGACUCUCGGGAAAAAGUGUCCAUUUUCAAUGCCAGCUGCUCCAGACUGAUCUUAUCAUUCCUGCAUCGUUUUCUCCAGAGAAUCUUUAGCAAAUACCCACCCCAAAAGAAAAAGGGGGAAGGGUGUGAGUUUUCGGAUCCGCAGGCUGCUAUGAAUAAAGAUGCCGUAGUCAGUUGG